rnacentral:lncRNA from 1 species
AAUUCUGAAAGGUUGCCUCAUCGCUGGAAAUAUGUGUAAUGUUGGAGCAAUGCUAGAUUAUAAAAUUUAUCGUUAAUUAAUAAUGAAACACACAAAGGUGUGAACAUCUCCAACUGCAGACACAACUGGUUUAUAAAAAUGACUGCGAGGUAAAAGUAGGAAUCCCAGAUCUAAAACAAGAACAAGAUAUAUCAAUACUAUGGUGUUACAAGCAUAUUGACAGGACUGGUGUUACACAUGGAAGAGAAGACAAGGAAGGGCUGGAACUUAGAGAACAAUGGCAUCUGGGAAUCUGUUGAGCAGUUGUUGUCAUCAGAAACAUCUACCAGGAACUUACAGGGGGUCAUGAGAUAGCUCUACAGCAAACAAGAAAGAGAAGAAAUGCUUCUUGCCCUGGCAGAAUUAUAAGUGGGCACACUUGCUAUGUUAUACAAUAUUAGGCAUGCAGUAGAAAAAAACAAGGAACCAUACAAAUCACCAGGUGUCUGGUCACAAACUCUGGCAGAGCUUCACACCAAGCAGGCAAGCUACAAGAUUUGGAACAACACAGCUUAUAGAUGAAAGUUAAAGGCAUUUAAUUUACUUGAAAACAGAGGAAGAAAGGACCAACACAUAAAAGAACAUUCAUUUUGAGGGAUGAGCAAUUCAAUUGAGUUCAAGGGUAGAGCAAUGGUGACUUCUCAGCCACCUGCUAUCAAUUUGACAUGUAUUAAGCACACGACUGGGUUAAUAAAAGUGGGAGUUUGGGUUAAAAUGCCCUUUGAGAGGCCCUGAAAAAAUGUUUGUCUAAGAAAGUUGAAACUAUGGAAGAAAAGGUGGUCAACUUCAGAGACAUAGAUGUAACUCCUGCAACGUGCUUCAACAUGGUUUAGCCAAGCGGAAACUUUUUCUUCCUAGUGUAUGCUCUUUAACGUAUUUAAGAUGUCCUUAACAUCUUUCAGAAAUCUACUUUUCUACCAAUAUUAUAUGGGUUAAUAUUUUUCAUAGAUAAAGCACAAAUAGUAGAGGGCUAAUUUUCAGACUAUGCUGCAUUUAUGAAGCAAAGCAAACCUCAUCUGCUUUCAUGACUUGAAUGGAGGAGAAUGGUUAGAGACUAUUAAAAGAGGAGAGGAGAGGAAAGAAGAGGCAAGAGCAAGAACAUACAGCAGACUGGCUGCUCCAACUUGGCAGUGGUCUCUCUAGUUCCUGGAGUCCUGUCCAUGAAUGAGGUUGGACUUGCAGCCACCAGCCAUUGCCAGUGGAGAGGCAGCGCCAGACUCCUACCAGCACUCACAUGGGUGGCAAUGGAAUGAAGUCACCACAUUUAGCAAAGGGUGAUGGCACAUUUCUUGGGUUUGCUAUGGGAGUAACCUUCUGUUUAAAUGUAUUACACAGAGCUCAUCUCUAACAAAAUCAUCUUCCUAUUUGGUUAACACUGUAAAUGAAAAUUCUGAACAGUGUGUGUUUACGCAAAGGUAGAAUCUAUACUCUCAGACUGCUAUCCAUUUGUGUGACCAUAAAGUCUUUAAAACUGAAGUAACGAUGGGGCAGAGAGAGGCAGUAUUUAAUAUCAAAAAGCCACAUGGUUGUUACAAUUUUAGGCAAGCUUAAGCAGAAAUUGUAUAUGUAAGGAAUAAAAUGUCAAUGUUACUUUCAGUUUGAAUUUCUACCACUGAAAUUUUAAUUCAAUCCAAAAUAUUCCUCUGCACAUGAGUCAGGCAGAAUGACCAAAUGUUGAUGCUGCGUGAUGAUGAUGUCCAUAGCCUGGACCUCUUCCCAUCUGGCUCCUUGGAUUACCUCACAGCCCUUCCUAGGUACCCAGAAUGUUUGCUCUUUGGUUAUAAGGCCAGAUGAAUGAGCAAAAACUCCCACCUAAAUCUGUAGCAUGCGGACAACCAAAUGAAUAGAUAUUUGAUUCUACUCACAGAUAUCAAACUAAAUAUGUUAAAUUCUAAAGAGAGCUAUUUCAACACUCUCAAUCUUCAAAAUGGAAAAGCUGCUUCUGUACUUAUGUAAAAUAUAAUAUGCUAUGUUAUACUAUUUGUUACUUCACAAAGUUUUUAACACAUCAUUUUAACACCUCCAAGUCUAUAAAUGUAUACUGCAGCAGAAGCCAUAUUGAGCAUAUAUAAUCAAAAUCGAAUCCUAUAUUCCUGCAGCUCUCACCACCAUCAAAGCUUGCCAUCUGGAGAAAACACAGGGCGACCGUGGCCUACAGAUAGAUGCUUAGAGAAUCCAACCUUCAUCCUGAGCAUGAGGGUGUUGGCGUUUGGAAAAGAGGAAGAAGGGGAAGCAGGCAAAUGUGGGCUUGGAGAGUGACAAUGCUAAUGAAAUAGGGUAAAUAACAAGCUUGGAAGUGAAGACCAGGCCAGUUUCCUAGAACACUUUUCCAUUCUGUAUCUUGAGACUAUGGAGACAGGAAGUGGAGAGAGCAGAUAAAUCCAUGACACUGUACUCUCCGGGAUCAGCUCCUGCCAUUCCGACUGCCCUAAUAUCCUUUCCUGCCUCCUCUCUCUUCUAGUAUUGCUCUCAGAUCAUGCUGGAUAUGCUUAAUAUAAACUGAAUUUAUCAUCUUCUAGAGAUUCCAAUAUCGACUUUAUGUCAAUAACCUCCCAAAUGCCUGUAUUUUGUUCUGAAGUUUCCUCGGGGCAGUAUUUUCAGCUCUCUAUUGGCCAUACCACUUGGAUGAAUAAAAAGAACGUCAAUCUCCAU